rnacentral:rRNA from 1 species
UACGUAGGGACCAAGCGUUGUUCGGAUUUACUGGGCGUAAAGGGAGCGUAGGCGGCAAUUCAAGUCAGUUGUGAAAUCUCCGAGCUUAACUCGGAACGGUCAACUGAUACUGCUUUGCUAGAGUACAGAAGGGGCAAUCGGAAUUCUUGGUGUAGCGGUGAAAUGCGUAGAUAUCAAGAGGAACACCUGAGGUGAAGACGGGUUGCUGGGCUGAUACUGACGCUGAGGCUCGAAAGCUAGGGUAGCAAACGGGAUUAGAAACCCGAGUAGUCC